rnacentral:rRNA from 1 species
UGAGCCUAAUUCGGAUUAGCUAGUUGGUGGGGUAAAGGCCCACCAAGGGGACGAUCCGUAACUGGUCUGAGAGGAUGAUCAGUCACACCGGAAAUGAGACACGGUCCGGACUCCUACGGGAGGCAGCAGUGGGGAAUAUUGGACAAUGGGGGCAACCCUGAUCCAGCCAUGCCGCGUGUGUGAAGAAGGCCUUUUGGUUGUAAAGCACUUUAAGCAGGGAGGAGAGGCUAAUGGUUAAUACCCAUUAGAUUAGACGUUACCUGCAGAAUAAGCACCGGCUAACUCUGUGCCAGCAGCCGCGGUAAUACAGAGGGUGCGAGCGUUAAUCGGAAUUACUGGGCGUAAAGCGAGUGUAGGUGGCUCAUUAAGUCACAUGUGAAAUCCCCGGGCUUAACCUGGGAACUGCAUGUGAUACUGGUGGUGCUAGAAUAUGUGAGAGGGAAGUAGAAUUCCAGGUGUAGCGGUGAAAUGCGUAGAGAUCUGGAGGAAUACCGAUGGCGAAGGCAGCUUCCUGGCAUAAUAUUGACACUGAGAUUCGAAAGCGUGGGUAGCAAACAGGAUUAGAUACCCUGGUAGUCCACGCCGUAAACGAUGUCUACUAGCCGUUGGGGUCCUUGAGACUUUAGUGGCGCAGUUAACGCGAUAAGUAGACCGCCUGGGGAGUACGGCCGCAAGGUUAAAACUCAAAUGAAUUGACGGGGGCCCGCACAAGCGGUGGAGCAUGUGGUUUAAUUCGAUGCAACGCGAAGAACCUUACCUGGUCUUGACAUAGUGAGAAUCCUGCAGAGAUGCGGGAGUGCCUUCGGGAAUUCACAUACAGGUGCUGCAUGGCUGUCGUCAGCUCGUGUCGUGAGAUGUUGGGUUAAGUCCCGCAACGAGCGCAACCCUUUUCCUUAUUUGCCAGCGGGUUAAGCCGGGAACUUUAAGGAUACUGCCAGUGACAAACUGGAGGAAGGCGGGGACGACGUCAAGUCAUCAUGGCCCUUACGACCAGGGCUACACACGUGCUACAAUGGUAGGUACAGAGGGUUGCUACACAGCGAUGUGAUGCUAAUCUCAAAAAGCCUAUCGUAGUCCGGAUUGGAGUCUGCAACUCGACUCCAUGAAGUCGGAAUCGCUAGUAAUCGCAGAUCAGAAUGCUGCGGUGAAUACGUUCCCGGGCCUUGUACACACCGCCCGUCACACCAUGGGAGUCUAUUGCACCAGAAGUAGGUAGCCUAACGCAAGAGGGCGCUUACCA